AGCAGCCGCGGUAAUUCCAGCUCCAAUAGCGUAUAUUAAAGUUGUUGCAGUUAAAAAGCUCGUAGUUGAAUUUCGGGAUCAAAGGAUCGGUCAUGCCUUGGUAUGUACUGGUUUUAUUGGUUCUCACCUUCUAAAGAACCAUAAUGUCAUUCAUUUGAUGUUAUGGGGAAUUAGGACUGUUACCUUGAAAAAAUUAGAGUGUUUAAAGCAGGCUUACGCUUGAAUACAUUAGCAUGGAAUAAUGAAAUAGGACAUCAGAUUCUAUUUUGUUGGUUUCUAGGAUCGAUGUAAUGAUUAAUAGGGAUAGUUGGGGGCAUUAGUAUUCAAUUGUCAGAGGUGAAAUUCUUGGAUUUAUUGAAGACUAACUACUGCGAAAGCAUUUUGCCAAGGAUGUUUUCAUUAAUCAAGAACGAAAGUUAGGGGAUCGAAGACGAUCAGAUACCGUCGUAGUCUUAACCAUAAACUAUGCCGACUA
rnacentral:misc_RNA from 1 species